rnacentral:rRNA from 1 species
CCCUUAGAUGUCCUGGGCUGCACGCGCGCUACACUGAUGUGUCCAGUAAGCACCUAACCUCUUCCGAAAGGAACGGGUAACCUUUGCAAAGCACAUCGUGAUGGGGAUAGAUUAUUGCAAUUAUUAGUCUUGAACGAGGAAUUCCUAGUAAGCACAAGUCAUCAGCUUGUGUUGAUUACGUCCCUGCCCUUUGUACACACCGCCCGUCUCUCCUACCGAUUGAAUGUUCCGGUGAGCUCUUCGGACUGCGCGGUCUGCAGUUUCUGCGUUCCGUGCGGAAAGUUGCGCAAACCUUAACAUUUAGAGGAAGGAGAAGUCGUAACA